rnacentral:rRNA from 1 species
GACGAACGCUGGCGGCGUGCUUAACACAUGCAAGUCGAACGAAGUGGCGAACGUGUGAGUAACGCGUAAUCAACCUGCCCUUCAGAGGGGGACAACAGUUGGAAACGUCUGCUAAUACCGCAUACUGUAGGAGGGGAUUGCGUCUGAUUAGCUAGUUGGCGGGGUAACGGCCCACCAAGGCGAUGAUGCGUAGCCGGGCUGGUAGGAUGAACGGCCACAUUGGGACUGGGACACGGGCCAAGCUCCUACGGGAGGCAGCAGUGGGGAAUCUUCCGCAAUGGACGAAAGUCUGACGGAGCAACGCCGCGGGAGUGAUGACGGCCUUCGGGUUGUAAAGCUCUGUUAAUCGGGACGCGGUACCGGAAGAGAAAGCAACGGCUAACUACGUGCCAGCAGCCGCGGUAAUUG